CUACGUGCCAGCAGCCGCGGUAAUACGGAAGGUUCGGGCGUUAUCCGGAUUUAUUGGGUUUAAAGGGAGCGUAGGCCGGAGAUUAAGUGUGUUGUGAAAUGUAGACGCUCAACGUCUGACUUGCAGCGCAUACUGGUUUCCUUGAGUACGCACAACGUUGGCGGAAUUCGUCGUGUAGCGGUGAAAUGCUUAGAUAUGACGAAGAACUCCGAUUGCGAAGGCAGCUGACGGGAGCGCAACUGACGCUGAAGCUCGAAGGUGCGGGUAUCGAACAGGAUUAGAUACCCUGGUAGUCCGCACGGUAAACGAUGGAUGCCCGCUGUUGGUACCUAGUAUCAGCGGCUAAGCGAAAGCAUUAAGCAUCCCACCUGGGGAGUACGCCGGCAACGGUGAAACUCAAAGGAAUUGACGGGGGCCCGCACAAGCGGAGGAACAUGUGGUUUAAUUCGAUGAUACGCGAGGAACCUUACCCGGGCUUGAA
rnacentral:rRNA from 1 species